UAUGAGCUUUGUGGAGAAAACUUUGGCAUGUACUGAUAUCCUGUAUUUUUCUAUUGCAGUCUGAGGAACGAAUGAGGAAAGAGAUGGAAAGAUUUGAUCAUGAAAGAAGGAAGGAAGAAGAAAGGUUGAUGCGUGAACAGCAGAGAGAGGAGGAGAGAUUGCUACGUGAGCAAAGGCGAGAAUCAGAGCGACAGGAGUAGUAUUUGCAGAAAGAAUCUAAGGCGGAGAAAAAGAGACAAAAAGAAGAGCUUCGUCGAGAAAAAGAAGAAGAGAGACGAAAAGCUGCAGUGGAGAAGGCCACUGCUCGCAGAAUUGCCAAGGAAUCCAUGGAGAUUAUGGAGGAUGAACAGCUGGAGCUGAUGGAAUUGGCCGCUGCAAGCAAGGGGUUGCCUUCAAGUCUUUAGAGAUAAGGAAUUGACCUUUGGCACUGCACGAUCAAUAUGAAUAGCAAUUUCAACCACUAUGCAUGUUUGCUCAACAUCAUACCAUAAAGCAAAACUAGAAGAAUAAUUGAGUUGUGCAAUCAGUAAACAAGAGCUAAAGCAGCUUGUCAUGCUACUAUUGGAAAGUGGCAAAGAAACAAAUAUGUGGGUGUGUCCCUUGUUGGGAAAACGCUUGCCAUUAUGGGUUUUGGAAAGGUUGGAUCAGAAGUCGCACGUUGUGCCAAAGGUCUUGGUAUGCAUGUGAUUGCACAUGACCCUUAUGCCCCCGCAGAUUG